GGCACGGAAAAGGCCAGGCGACAGGUGUCGCUUGAAAAGACUGGGCUUGUCCUUGCUGGUGCAUGCGUCGUCGGCCUCUGGGCAGCAGUUGUUGCCUAAAUUUCCACAAAUAUAUGCCUUGCUGGAGUGCAGUGGUGUGAUCUUGGCUUACUGCAACCUUCACCUCCCGGGUUCAAGUGAUUCUCCUGCUUCAGUCUCCUGAGUAGCUGGAAAUACAGGUUUACAAAGGAGGAAAACGACUUCUUCUAGAUUUUUUUUUCAGUUUCUUCUAUAAAUCAAAACAUCUCAAAAUGGAGACCUAAAAUCCUUAAAGGGACUUAGUCUAAUCUCGGGAGGUAGUUUUGUGCAUGGGUAAACAAAUUAAGUAUUAACUGGUGUUUUACUAUCCAAAGAAUGCUAAUUUUAUAAACAUGAUCGAGUUAUAUAAGGUAUACCAUAAUGAGUUUGAUUUUGAAUUUGAUUUGUGGAAAUAAAGGAAAAGUGAUUCUAGCUGGGGCAUAUUGUUAAAGCAUUUUUUUCAGAGUUGGCCAGGCAGUCUCCUACUGGCACAUUCUCCCAUUAUGUAGAAUAGAAAUAGUACCUGUGUUUGGGAAAGAUUUUAAAAUGAGUGACAGUUAUUUGGAA
rnacentral:lncRNA from 1 species